rnacentral:rRNA from 1 species
UAAGAAGCACCGGCUAACUACGUGCCAGCAGCCGCGGUAAUACGUAGGGUGCGAGCGUUGUCCGGAAUUACUGGGCGUAAAGAGCUCGUAGGUGGUUUGUCGCGUCGUCUGUGAAAUUCCGGGGCUUAACUCCGGGCGUGCAGGCGAUACGGGCUGACUUGAGUGCUGUAGGGGAGACUGGAAUUCCUGGUGUAGCGGUGAAAUGCGCAGAUAUCAGGAGGAACACCGAUGGCGAAGGCAGGUCUCUGGGCAGUAACUGACGCUGAGGAGCGAAAGCAUGGGUAGCGAACAGGAUUAGAUACCCUGGUAGUCCAUG